AACGAACGCUGGCGGCAUGCCUAACACAUGCAAGUCGAACGAAGCCUUCGGGCUUAGUGGCGCACGGGUGCGUAACGCGUGGGGAUCUGCCCUUGGGUUCGGAAUAACAGUUAGAAAUGACUGCUAAUACCGGAUGAUGUCUUCGGACCAAAGAUUUAUCGCCCAAGGAUGAGCCCGCGUAGGAUUAGGUAGUUGGUGGGGUAAUGGCCCACCAAGCCGACGAUCCUUAGCUGGUCUGAGAGGAUGAUCAGCCACACUGGGACUGAGACACGGCCCAGACUCCUACGGGAGGCAGCAGUGGGGAAUAUUGGACAAUGGGCGAAAGCCUGAUCCAGCAAUGCCGCGUGAGUGAUGAAGGCCUUAGGGUUGUAGAGCUCUUUUACCAGGGAUGAUAAUGACAGUACCUGGAGAAUAAGCUCCGGCUAACUCCGUGCCAGCCGCCGCAGUAA
rnacentral:rRNA from 1 species